ensembl:lncRNA
GAUGAAGACUCAAACCCAGACCUUCUCAGCAACUUCAGUAUUUUCAGUACUUUUUCCAGGAAUCUACUUACUAGAAAGAUCACCUCAAGCUAACCUGUGAAAUGAGGAUUGGGAAGAGUCAUCAGAUUUGGGACUGUGAAUCGCUCUGUUUGAAGACAAGUCUCAUGACAUGGACUUCCUGAAGAUCCACCAAUUGCCAGACUCUUUAAGAGGCCUGAGCUGACUCUUGCUUCAAGGAGCAGCCUAACAUUAACAUCAUCAAGAAAGAUCUAUUGUGCCCUUCAGUUUACGAAGUUGACUUCCUGCUUGUGGAAUCUUAGCUCUUUGACCAUGGAUCAAACCUACACCACCUGCAUUGGAAGGCAAAGUCUUAACCACUGGACUACCAGGGAAAUCCCACAAUCAGCACCAUCAUAUCCCCUUAACUCCCCAAGGGGCUCUUCUUGCAUUUAUUUUCACCUUCUAUAUUGACCUUCAGUAGAGAAUAAAAAUGAGAGAGAGGUCUGGACAGCGGCCCUCCUCCACUCAGUGACCUUCUUGGAUAUGGCGCCUGCAUUCCAUUCCCAGCACAGGGCUGGCUCCAAGGACGGGAGCCCUUUGCAAAGCACUGUUUCCCAUAGUUCCUGAUGCCUUUGUUCUGAGAUAAAGUAAGCCUGUGCUCCAUCCCCUCUGCCAAGCUUCUGCUUAUCACUAGGCAAGGCAAAUAUCAUUGGAAUGUUUCAGUGCACUAUUAGCCAAAUUCCAAUGCAAUCCCAAUCACUUGAUUAAGUGUUUUGAGGACUCACUAGUCCUGGCAUUGACAAGUCCUUGUAAGAGAUCAACAGUGUCAAUGGGAAUAAAUAUUAGCUUGUCCUUUCACAUUGAAUAUGUCAAGCUGACCUACAAGGAUGUAAGCACGCCAAGGGCUGCAAUUUCUGUUUGUUUUGUCUCCAAU